GUGGCUGGGCCUCCCAAGUGUCACGUUGGAGAACCGGAGAAGGGGACUUCUUUGGGAUGUACUCUGGACUUGUUGAUAGAUUAAGUGUAGGUGGGGUGAGGAAGAGAACUCAAAGAUGACACCAGGUGUUGGAGCUGAGCCACGGGGAGAAGGGUGCAAAGGGAAAGCAGUGCGGGGGCUGGGAGGGGAGAGGGUCAGUCCUGUUUUGCUU
rnacentral:lncRNA from 1 species